rnacentral:misc_RNA from 1 species
GAAACGCGAUAGUUAAUGUGAAUUGCAGAAUACAGUGAAUCAUCGAGUCUUUGAACGCACAUUGCGCCCAUAGGUAUUCCUUUGGGCAUGUCUGUUUGAGCGUCAUUACAACCCUCAGCUAACCGCUGGUUUUGAACCUGAACGGGCGACACCGCGCCGGUUUUAAAGUUGUAAGCUCUGCUGGCCGCUCUGCCCAACCAGAACAUAGUAAGCACUACUUGUCCGGGUGAAGCUGAACGGUACGGCCUGAACAAAACCUACCCACUCUCAAGGUCUGACCUCAGAUCAGACAAGGAUACCCGCUGAACUUAAGC